UACAGAGGGGGCAAGCGUUAUUCGGAAUUAUUGGGCGUAAAGGGCGCGUAGGCGGCCUGGCAAGUGGAAGGUGAAAUCCCUCGGCUUAACCGAGGAACUGCCCUCCAAACUGCUUGGCUUGAGUCCGGGAGAGGUGAGUGGAAUUCCCAGUGUAGCGGUGAAAUGCGUAGAUAUUCGCAAGAACACCAGUGGCGAAGGCGGCUCACUGGCCCGGUACUGACGCUGAGGCACGAAAGCGUGGGGAGCAAACAGG
rnacentral:rRNA from 1 species